AUCCAUGGAAUCGGAAGGAGCAGAGCUCGCAAGAUUCUCUGCGAUAUAAGCGUGGACAACAAGGUCACUAAGGAUCUCAGCGAAGAGGAACUCAUCACUCUUAGAGAUAAAGUCUCCAAAUACGUCAUUGAAGGCGAUUUGGAGAUUGAAGGAGAUUCAAUGUUACAGAGGAUAGGUAGAUAGGUACGUUUGCUGAAGAAGGCAAACGAAAUCUCAGUGCUAUGCGAUGCCGAGGUCGCACUCAUCAUCUUCUCUACCAAAGGCAAGCUCUUCGAAUAUUCCAGCGAUCCCUGGGAUGGAUCAUAUCAUUGAGUCUUCAAGCAGGUAACCUCCUAAUCGCCGAUUCCGAUCCAUUAAGAACUCAGUCGCCACACACCAAAACCCUAAUCUCUCUGAGAGCGACUUCGCAUUCCACUUUCAGCAGAGAUGGGUGAGGAGGUGAAAGCAAUUGUUCCCGAGUCUGUGCUUAAGAAGCAAAAGAGGGAAGAGGAAUGGGCCUUGAAGAAAAAGGAGGAGCUUGAUGCUGCAAAGAAAAAGAGAGCUGAGAGCCGCAAGCUCAUUUACAGCAGGGCAAAGCAAUAUGCAAAGGAAUACCAGGAGCAGAAAAAGGAGCUGAUAAUUGAAGAGACUACGAUGCACUGCAUUGCCAUUGAUUUGUCAUUGCAGUGAGGAUUUUAGGUUUCCUUUGUAAGAGACUUCAUAAUCCAAGAGACUAGGAUGAAUUGCCAUUGAUAAAUAAUUGUAGUGAUAUCAAAACACUUAAUAUGUUGCUUUACUUAAUUGUCGUGCAUAUGUGAUAUCAAAACUUAAAUCUACCUAAUAAUUUAUACUUAUUUAAAUAUUUCAUGUACAGAUAUUGGAUUAACAAUAUGGAACACCAAAAAAAGGAUAACUAAAUAAAUUAAAAUAAAAUUUAAAGAGGUUGAGAAGGUUGGUGGAAAGGACUUGCCACUAUGCAAAGAGCAAUAUGUGGCCUUUUUGGACUCGCUCAUUCUUGGGUUGGACUCGCUCAUUCUUGGGGAGUGGGAAGAUCGGAUGCCGAGAAGGCUUUUUCGCUAUGACGUUACUGCCUGUGAAACUAAGGUUGAAAUUGAUGGUGGCUUUUUCUUCCUUGUUGGUUUAAAGAACUUGAAGAAGAAUUGGAAUUCCAACUCCAAGGAGUAAGAAAAGAUUCAUCUUUCUCAAGAAAAGAUGUCAGACGAGGAGCAAUGUCCACUGCCUUUGGCGUCGUAGUUGCGCCACCACCACCAAUGGUUGUUCUUUCUUCCACAGAGUAACCACUUUGUUGUUCUUGGUUCUUCUUGUUCUUAGUUUCUUGCUCUUGCUCCUCUAUUAUCUUUAUCAAUUGUUGAUGCUUGUAAUUCUCCAUCUGUUUCUCUUCAUUAUAGCGGUAUUCCAUUCAUAACAAGGCAGAUACAAUAGUUUAGUAAAGGACAAAAAAAACUUACAUCAAUAUGUAAACAAUAAUUGUUCAAAAGUUAUAGCAUAUAAAGGAAUAUUAUUUAAAUA